CCAAUAUAUCAUACAUGAAGAAAUCAAGAUAAAUAAAAGACCAACACUUGCAUUAGUGUUGAAUCUAGGUGUAAGAGAUUCACAAAAAUCAAGCACUUUUAAUAUUCGGCACUUUUGUAUGCUUUCAUUAUUUUACUAAGAGAAAUAAAGCAAAGUACUUAAAAACACAAAAGCUUAUGCAACACAUUCUAAAAAAUGCUCAAUUUUCAAAUAAGCCAUGCACUUGUUACACUUAUUAUUGGUCUUUUAUAGAAACAGAUUUUAAAAGAAUGUCUUGUAAAGAUAGUGUACUUUCAUCAUUGCCUGAGCAGCUCAGUGAUUAUGAGGAAUGCCAAGAAGACUUCAAUAUUCUUAACUUGGAAUCAAGAAAAAGAAAGUCCUUUAAAAGAUCAAGAUCUUUGAUAACAAUGACAAAAACUAAAUUUGCCAGGGGUAGAGCCUUCCUCUUAUCAAUUUCAGGCAAGAAGCAAUCUUUUUCUGCAUAGUGAAAAGUAAGCCAACUAAGGGAAAGAGCUGUGUGACUAUUAUAGCAUAAAACUAACUGGGUGGUUGAAAAGCAGUACUUUUAAGAAUUUUGUUAACUUUACUUAACAUGUUGAUUUUUAUUUCAUUUUGAGAUAUGUUAAGAAAUGAAACCAUUUUCACACACUAUUUUUAGCUCCCUCACGAUAGUUAUUUACAACUGUCUCUUUUGCCCUCCCUAAGCUUUAUCCUCUUCCUCAGUGAGUCUCCCUCAUUGCCCCAUAUUCCUAAACCAAUAGGAAGAAUUUCCUCAUACCCUUAAGCCUUGCAUCUGUUACCAUAGAGACAGGCAUCAUAAGAUAGCUGCUCAGUAACAUCCUCAUGGAAAUAAAAUAAGAAUCCUAUGUCCUUUACAGGAAUUUCCAGUGCUACUAGUGAGAAUAAAUGAUAUUCUUCCCUAGGAAAAAGGCAAGAACUUUAGUUUCACAAUCAUGGAAUUAUAGAGAUUCUUAUUUAUGAUGGUAAAUGUAGAAUCUCUUAAAUUUAUGCUUAGAAUCUAAUUACAGAUUCUCACAUGAUUUGGAAAAUAUUCCCUUAUAUCUACAUGUUCAGGGAAAUAUCUCACAAAUAUUUCAUUGCUAACUUUUAAUUCUAGCAUGUCUCACCAAUCAUUUACUAACAGCCUCAACCGUUCUUCUAUAGUGCAAUGCAUAAAUUCUUACUUUGCUAUCCUUUGAUCCCCUUCAGACCAUAUUUUGAUCAAGAGCACGCCCAUCUUUUUAAAAGGUAAGCACCUCUCCAGAUGACUGUAAUGUAAAAGCCACAUAGCAAUUUGAUAAGUCCUAUGAAGAGAGAAAAGAUAGCUGCAAGAAGUAAUUUCCACUCACUUUACUUGUUUUCCACUAACUUCUUUACUUUCUGUAAGUCAAAUGCAAUCACACAAUAAUUAACAGUGACAAUAAAAAUAACUUCUUCUUAGCAAAUAGCAAGAUCAAUGAGUGUAUGCAAAGUAGAUAUAUGUAAUUCAGUGGUUUCAGAGAGCUCAAUUUUUAUUACAGACAUAAUAAAGGUUCCUUAGUAAGUAAAAUCUUCCAACAGAUUAACAGCCAAAAUGGUCCCAUCAUUAACCCCUAAGCUGUAUAUUAGAACCACUUUUCAAAGGUGUAGUGGUUAAACAUUAUAUGAGUGAUCACAACUUCUCUUUAUGGUCUUCAGCUGAUAUUUAGUGGUGACCGAGCUUGUUCUAGGCACUUGAUUCAAUGAGUAAAAAGCAAAAUUCCCUUAUAUUCUAGAGAUGAGGUCGGCAAAAUUUUACUAAUACAUAAGGUCAGGUAAUAAAUAUUUUUGGCUUUGUGGCCCAAAUGGUCUGUCACUACUACUUAACUGCUAUGUUGGCAUGAAAACUGGCACAGAAAAUAUGUAAACAAAAAGGUAUGCUGUCUCCCAACCAAAAUUUAUUAGUAGACACUUAAAUCAAAAUUUCAUAUAAUUUUUAUGUGUCACAAAGUACUACGUAUCUUUUAAAAAAACCCAUUUAGAAUACAGAAAGCAUUAUUGACUGGUUAAACACAAAGAGCUAUGGCACGUGGGUCAUAAUGAGCUGACUUCUGGCAUGGAGGGUUCCAAUGGGGUCCUAGAGACACUCAAAGAAAUAUCUGAAAAGGAAACUUUUUUUUAAUGAAAUGACAAGGCUCAACGAUUUUUAAAAUUAUUUGAGACAUCUUUUUCAAAUUCUCUUUAACGCAGGAACUCCACUGUCAGUCCUGAUCACUUUAGGAACAAGGAGAGCAGUGCCUCAUAAAGUAGUCAAUUCUCUCUUUAUAUAAUUAACUGAAAGAGUAUUUUUUUCUUCACUACCAGAGAGGCAGAAAUGAGUCUAACCCCUCCUCUACAGUGUAGCUUAUCUAAUAUUUGAUAUCAGUUUAAUUUUACUGUAUUCAUUUCCCUCUACACAUGCUUCAAUUUUUUUCCUUUUCUAGAAUAUUUAAUGCCCCUCAACUACUGUAGUUUCUAGUACAAUUAGCCCCCCACUCAGACAUUUUUUUGUCACUAAAUAUUCUCUGAGGUAUUAAAGUUCCUCUUAGACCAUGAGAUUACUCUUAAAAAAAGUUUCUGUAAACUUUGUUCUCUUUGUUUCCUUCCGAGAGGGAUACAUGUCCAACAUUACUUUAUUAUUUUUUUAAUGUUUCUCACAUAAAUUUAUUUAUACUAACUAUAGUUUACUUUUGCAUAUUAAACACACAGUUGACAAACACAUAUUCCCUCUUCUUUUUUUUAAUGUUAAAAAAAAGAAAGCUGGGAGUUCCCGUUGUGGCGCAGUGGUUAACGAAUCCGACUAGGAACCAUGAGGUUGCGGGUUCGGUCCCUGCCCUUGCUCAGUGGGUUAACAAUCCGGCGUUGCCGUGAGCUGUGGUGUAGGUUGCAGACGCGGCUCGGAUCCUGCGUUGCUGUGGCUCUGGCGUAGGCCGGUGGCUACAGCUCCGAUUCAACCCCUAGCCUGGGAACCUCCAUAUGCCGCGGGAGCGGCCCAAGAAAUAGCAACAACAACAACAACAACAAAAGACAAGAAAGACAAAAGACAAAAAAAAAAAAAAAAAAAAAAAAAAAAA
rnacentral:lncRNA from 1 species